GACGAACGCUGGCGGCGUGCUUAACACAUGCAAGUCGAACGGAAAGGCCCCUUUGGGGGUACUCGAGUGGCGCACGGGUGAGUAACACGUGAGUAACCUGCCCUUGACUUCGGGAUAACUUCAGGAAACUGGGGCUAAUACCGGAUAGGAAUCCUUGCUGCAUGGUGGGGGUUGGAAAGCUUCGGCGGUUUUGGAUGGACUCGCGGCUUAUCAGCUUGUUGGUGGGGUAGUGGCUUACCAAGGCUUUGACGGGUAGCCGGCCUGAGAGGGCGACCGGCCACAGUGGGACUGAGAUUCGGCCCAGACUCCGACGGGUGGCAGCAGUGGGGAAGAGUGCAAAAGAGGCGGAAGCCUGAGGCAGCAACGCCGCGGGCGGGAUGACGGCCUUCGGGUUGUAAUCCGCUUUCAGCAGGGGCGAAGCUUGUGGUGACGGUACCUGCAGAAGAAGCACCGGCUAACUACGUG
rnacentral:rRNA from 1 species